rnacentral:rRNA from 1 species
GCAUCGAAUAAUGCUGGGGUUGAUUCUGUAGCUCGAAGAUUGAACGCUGGCGGGAUGCUUUACACAUGCAAGUCGAACGGCAGCACGGACUUCCCGGUCCUGGUGGCGAGUGGCGAACGGGUGAGUAAUGUCGGAACGUGCGCCUAGUAGCGGUAACUACGCAGCGUAGCUAAUACCAUACGCCCGCUCAGGGGAAAGCGGGGGACCUUCGACCUCUGCUAUGAAGCGGCCGAUAUCGGAUUAGCUAGUUGGUGGGGUAACGGCUCACGCAAGGCGACGAUCCCGUAGCUGGUUUGAGAGGACGACCAGCCACACUGGGACUGGGGUACGGCCCAGACUCGAGGCGGCGGUGAGAAUUUUGGACAAUGGGGAAACCUGAUCAGCCAUCCGCGUGUGCGAUGAAGGCCUUCGGGUUGUAAAGCACUUUGGCAGGAAAGAAGCAGCACGGGAUAAUACCCCGUGCAGCUGACAGAAAACACCUGCGAAUAAGCACCGGCCAGCAACUACGUGCCAGCAACCGCGGUAAUACGUAGGGUGCAAGCGUUAAUCAGGAAUUACUGGGCGUAAAGCGUGCGCGGCGGUUCGGAGAAGAAAGAUGUGAAAUCCCAGAGCUUAACUUUGGAACUGCAUUUUAACUACCGAGAGCUAGAGGGUGUGUCAGAGGUGGAAUUCGCGUGUAAACGAUGAAAUGCGUAGAUAUGCGGAGGAACACCGACGAAGGCAGCCUCUGGGAUAACACUGACGCUCAUGCACGAAAGCGUGGGGAGCAAACAGGAUUAGAUGCCCUGGUAGUCCCGCCCUAAACGAUGUCAACUAGCUGUUGGGGCCUUCGGGCCUUGGUAGCGCAACUAACGCGUGAAGUUGACCGCCUGGGGAGUACGGUCGCAAGAUUAAAACUCAAAGGAAUUGACGGGGACCCGCACAAGCGGUGGAUGAUGUGGAUUAAUUCGAUGCAACAUGAAAAACCUUACCUACCCUUCGACAUGUCUGGAAUCGAGAGAUUUGGGAGUGCUCGCAAGAGAACCGGAACACGGAGUGCUGCAUGGCUGUCGUCAGCUCGUGUCGUGAGAUGUUGGGUUAAAGUCCCGCAACGAGCGCAACCGCAUCCGUUAGUUGCUGCAGGCACUCUAAUGGACUGCCGGUGACAAACCGGAGGAAGGUGGGGAUGACGUCAAGUCCUCGUAACCCUUAUGGGUAGGAACUUCACCGUCAUACAAUGGUCAGGACAGAGGUCGCCAACCGAGGAGCCAGAAACCCGAUCGUAGUCCGGAUCACCCAGUCUGCAACUCGACUGCGUGAAGUCAGGAAUCGCUAGUAAUCGCGGAUCAGCAUGUCGCGGUGAAUACGUUCCGGGUCUUGUACACACCGCCCGUCACCAUGGGAGUGGGUUUACCAGAAGUAGUUAGCUAACUGCACGUAAGGGCGAUUACCACGGUAGGAUUCAUGACUGGGGUGAAGUCGUAGCUGGGUAG